AUGUCUCCCACAAAGAAGGGUGGCAAGAAGUAGAGCCAUUCUGCCAUCAACGAGGUGGUGACCCAAGAAUACGCCAUCAACAUUCAUAAGCACAUCCAUGGAGUGAGCUUCAAGAAGCAUGCCCCUUGCGCACUCAAAGAGAUCCAGAAAUUUGCCAUGAAGGAGGUGGGGACUCCAAAUGCACGUAUUGAUACCAGACUCAACAAAGCUGUCUGGACCAUAGGAAUAAAGACUGUCCCAUACUGUAUUCACAUGCGGUUGUCCAAUAAACAUAAUGAGGAUGAAGAUUCACCAAACAAGCUCUAUACUUUGGUUACCUGUGUACCUGUUACCACUUUCAAAAAUCUGCAGACAGUCAAUGUGGAUGAGAGCUAACCACUGACUGUCAGAUACGUCAAAUAAACUUAUAAAA